rnacentral:lncRNA from 1 species
GCUAAUCGCUAAAAUUUUCUUAUAAAUUGCAUGCCAAUAAAACCCUUUCCUUCGUCGCCAAACUAGUAAUAGAUUGAGAAAACAAAGGAAUAUGUCUGAAGUGAAGAUACCAGUGUGUUUGUCUUCGCAAUCAUCUUCCUUAGCCUCGUUUUUAUCUCUACCCGCCGCGGCCCCAGCGGCCGUGGGGCGGUGAUUCCGGUGGAGAAAUCCUGCAUACAUGGCUGGUUUUGUGCUUAUGUCAAGCACCACAGUCGAGUGUUAAUGACGUGGCAUGCUGAGGUGGCAAAUAAAACUGCAGUGCUCAAUUUGUUACUAUAAUAAGGUGCUCUACUAUAAAUAUCCUUGUAUUCUCAGCAUUAUGUAGAUCAUAUUCGCAAUUCUCAGUUAAUAUAUAUAAUUUUUCUUUCAUCUCUCAGAUUUUCCUUUCCAUUUUCUCUCGGUCAUUUUCU